AUGAGGUUGAAAAGCUUGGUUAGCCAUACUAUCGCUAUGUCCCCGAGACCUUUCCACACCUCAAUGGGGAUACAAUCAGGGCCCAUCGCCUUGCCUCCUUUCAUCCUUUUUAAAGUCUUCUUCACCUCAGACUCCUGGAUGCGCCGCACAAAACACAUGCUGGUCUCAUCAAAGGAGUCAUUCAGUUCAAUGGUAGAACUCUCAUUCUCCCCAUUGAACAGCUUGUCGAAGUACUCCCGCCAUCUAUGCUUAAUCUCUUCGUCCUUCACCAAGAGUUGGCCUGCUCCGUCCUUGAUGCAUUUGACUUGA
rnacentral:rRNA from 1 species